UCUUCAGAGGAGUUAGCGAAAUUCCAAUGUGUGGGGAUCUGCAAAAAAUGCGAAAUAACCCUUUAACCGUACAUUUGACAGAUACGCCCGCACUGACUUUUUUGUAGAUCUUAUUGAGAUACAUGUGUGUGUCAAUUUUUGUGUCAUUUUGACAAAGCGUACAGGCAUGACAGUCAAUAGUGUGAAUUUUCACCUUAGGGGGCGCUAUGGAGCCAUUUUGCAUUUUAUUGUUUGGGCGACUUAAGAAUAUCGAAUUUUUCACCAGGCCCGGUCGUCCUGCCAAAUUUCAUGAGUUUUCGCCAGUGGGAAGUGGGCCAUUUUCCAGUUUAAAGCGGAGGAAAAAUAAUAAUAAUAACACUAGGACCCCGUUGGGGCACUGGCGGGCCCGAGCUGUGUCGCGUCCCCCCCCCCAA
rnacentral:lncRNA from 1 species